rnacentral:lncRNA from 1 species
GGCACUUGAAUCUGCAACACGAAGGAUAGGAAAAAAUACCGAGCCGGUUGUGGCUGCAUUUCGUGAGAAGCAGACAGGCUCAACAUACAACGCUGUUGUCUUUCAAAGUGUGGAAUCAGUGGGAAGUGGCAUUGGUACCUGAAGUCUGUUCCCAGAGGAUCUGUGCAGGGAAUGAAUCAUUGUUAUGCAAAAGUAGAUUCUUGGCUGGGCGCCAUGGCUCACGCCUGUUAUCUCAGCACAUUGAGAGGCUGAGACGGGAGGAUUGCUUGAGGGCAGGAGUUUGAGACCAACCUGGGCAACAUAGUGAGACCCCUUUUCUUUUUAUUUUUUUGAGACAGGGUCUCACU